CUCUCUUGCUCCUUGCUAUGGCAUGGUCUGUUUCUGCAGGUUUAUUCUUGUAUCAUUUUUCCUACCCCUAUUCUUGUAUUUCUUUUUCAUGUUUUGCUUCUUUAUUUCUUUUUGUUCUGUUUUUUAAAAAAGGAAAUUAGAUUCUGAUUGUGUGGUUGUGGAAACCACGUUAUAGUGUUUCCUCUGCUUCCUACAUAUGUACUUAUUGAGACCAUUUAAUAAGAAAGAUCCAAAGUAUGACUGUAACCUGUACCCCUGCAUAUAGGUCAGUCAGCCCUCGGAACUGGUGGGAAUGGAUUUAAUAGGGCCACUACCAGCAACAAAGAAGGGAUACCAGUACAUACUCUCAGCCACGGAUUAUCUUACAAGAUGGGUGGAUGCAUUUCCACUUCGAACUAAGUCAGCCUAUGAGGUAGCAAAGAAAAUAUACAACAUUAUUAUUAAAUAUGGAUAUGUACAGAGGAUGCUGACAGAUCGCGAUCCUGAAUUCAAUAAUGACAGCAUUGCAGAAGUUAGUUGAUGACACUGGGAGUAACUGGGAUGAAUUUCUUGGUGACAUUUUAUUUCCUUUGCGACCUCAAGUGAACAUGACCACCAAAAUGUCCCCCUUUCGACUACUGUAUGACUUUGAAGCAAGAUUUCCAAUCCAAGUCUCAGAUGAUUAUACACCACCAAAUUUUGAGGAACUCGAUGAACAAUUCUACAAAGAGUACAGCAUAACUUGAAAUUGAGAAAGGAUGCUGACAUUGCACUGGCUCUUAGUAAUAUUACUAAAGCACAAGAAAAACAACAAAACCGGCAUGUCAAAAGAAAGAGUUCUAAAUAUGGGGAAAUAACAUUUGAAGUUGGGGACUGUGUUAUGUUACUGAAUACAAGAAGGAAAACAAAAAAGGGAGGACUGCAGCAACCUACCUAUCAUGGCCCAUACAAAGUUACUGCUGUUGUGGGUAAAAGAGUUAAACUGGAAACCACCUCGGGGAAACUGUUAGGGUCUAAGUACAGUAUCUCCCACUUAAAACCAUUUAAAGAGCCACCAACGUUAGGGGCUGAAAACAAAUCAGAGGAAAACACAGAAAUGGAAACUUCUGUGGAUGAGAUUGAAAAAACAGUGCCUCAGAAGAGAUUGGGCAAAUGGGUGGCAAUAUAUCUCGCGAGCCUCCUGAGAGCCGAGUGAUCAAGGUGGAGCUCACAGUCAUGGCAGAAGAACAGUGUGUAAUGGAAGAAGUUGCAUGCAGUGAUGUUGGUGAUAUGCUUGUGGAGGAUGGGGAAGACAGAGAAUGGCUGCUCAAAGGU